rnacentral:rRNA from 1 species
CCUACGGGCGGCAGCAGUGGGGAAUAUUGGACAAUGGGCGAAAGCCUGAUCCAGCCAUGCCGCGUGUGUGAAGAAGGCCUUCGGGUUGUAAAGCACUUUCAGUGGGGAAGAAAGCCUUGGGGCUAAUACCCUCGAGGAAGGACAUCACCCACAGAAGAAGCACCGGCUAACUCCGUGCCAGCAGCCGCGGUGAAUACGGAGGGUGCGAGCGUUAAUCGGAAUUACUGGGCGUAAAGCGCGCGUAGGCGGUCUGAUAAGCCGGUUGUGAAAGCCCCGGGCUCAACCUGGGAACGGCAUCCGGAACUGUCAGGCUAGAGUGCAGGAGAGGAAGGUAGAAUUCCCGGUGUAGCGGUGAAAUGCGUAGAGAUCGGGAGGAAUACCAGUGGCGAAGGCGGCCUUCUGGACUGACACUGACGCUGAGGUGCGAAAGCGUGGGUAGCAAACAGGAUUAGAUCCCCUAGUAGUC